rnacentral:rRNA from 1 species
CCUUUGACGUUAGCGGCGGACGGGUGAGUAACACGUGGGUAACCUACCUAUAAGACUGGGAUAACUUCGGGAAACCGGAGCUAAUACCGGAUAAUAUUUCGAACCGCAUGGUUCGAUAGUGAAAGAUGGUUUUGCUAUCACUUAUAGAUGGACCCGCGCCGUAUUAGCUAGUUGGUAAGGUAACGGCUUACCAAGGCGACGAUACGUAGCCGACCUGAGAGGGUGAUCGGCCACACUGGAACUGAGACACGGUCCAGACUCCUACGGGAGGCAGCAGGA